GCGCCCUGUCAGGGGAGUCCCGCCGAAGGGACUGAGAGGCUGAUUGGCAGGGCAACCUGCGGUGACGCGACCCUUUGAACCUGACCCAGUUGAGACUGGCGUAGGAAGACCGAGGGACGAAUCG
rnacentral:ncRNA from 1 species